AUUCACGCUAGCGGCAGGCAUAAUACAUGCAAGUUGAACGGCAGCACAGGUAGCAAUACUGGGUGGCGAGUGGCGCACGGGUGCGUAACACGUAUGCAACCUACCCUAUACAGGCGAAUAACCUUUAGAAAUGAGGGCUAAUACGCCGUAGUAUUACAGAUGGGCAUCUAUUUGUAAUUAAAGAUUUAUCGGUAUAGGAUGGGCAUGCGUCCCAUUAGUUAGUUGGUAAGGUACCGGCUUACCAAGACGAUGAUGGGUAGGGGAUCUGAGAGGACUUACCCCCACACUGGUACUGAGACACGGACCAGACUCCUACGGGAGGCAGCAGUAAGGAAUAUUGGGCAAUGGCCGCGAGGCUGACCCAGCCAUGCCGCGUGCAGGAAGACGGCCUUAUGGGUUGUAAACUGCUUUUAUACGGGAAUAAUAGAGUGUACGCGUACAUUUAUGCAAGUAUCGUAUGAAUAAGCAUCGGCUAACUCCGUG
rnacentral:rRNA from 1 species